AUUGAACGCUGGCGGCAUGCCUUACACAUGCAAGUCGAACGGCAGCACGGGUGCUUGCACCUGGUGGCGAGUGGCGAACGGGUGAGUAAUACAUCGGAACAUGUCCUGUAGUGGGGGAUAGCCCGGCGAAAGCCGGAUUAAUACCGCAUACGAUCUACGGAUGAAAGCGGGGGACCUUCGGGCCUCGCGCUAUAGGGUUGGCCGAUGGCUGAUUAGCUAGUUGGUGGGGUAAAGGCCUACCAAGGCGACGAUCAGUAGCUGGUCUGAGAGGACGACCAGCCACACUGGGACUGAGACACGGCCCAGACUCCUACGGGAGGCAGCAGUGGGGAAUUUUGGACAAUGGGCGAAAGCCUGAUCCAGCAAUGCCGCGUGUGUGAAGAAGGCCUUCGGGUUGUAAAGCACUUUUGUCCGGAAAGAAAUCCUUGGCUCUAAUACAGGCGGGGGAUGACGGUACCGGAAGAAUAAACACCGGCGAACUACGU
rnacentral:rRNA from 1 species